AACAAAGCUUUCUCCUCCGCCUUUAAAGGCUCCGAUGAGGAGCUAACAAUCGCCAAACACCCUCCUUUAACCACCCAUGACUUCUAAACGAAAUCCUAAAUCACUUAUCCCCUCAAUCGAACCAAAAAUAGGUUCUGAAUCUUAAAAACUCAACCUUUGGAGACCCAAAAAAUGAGAACAUGAUGAGUUUUCAAAGACUACCUUCGAUUCUUCAAAGGAAACUCCUUGCUCCGGUGAAGAACGAAAACGACGACUCAUCUCCGAAAGGGAUAGUUUUUAUGAAUGGUUUUUUAAUCGUUAAUCUCAUUACUCUCUCGAUUUGGAUUUUAUUUUAAAACUGGUUGUUGUUUUUUGUUGGUCGAAUAGUUGUGGAUUCCUUCUCUGGUUUUUGGUUUUUUGAAAAAUGAUUUUUCGUCCCCUCUAUUUCGUGAUUUUCGAAUAUGUUUUCUCUAUGAUUUUUUUCUUUCCUUCAUCUGCAGCUUUACGUGGAGCAACAACUCUAAAGGAAGUAUGAAACAUAGCAGCGACACUUUCAUCAGAGAAAGGACUAACCGAUGGAUUGUGUGGUCGUUAGUAGACGAACCCUCAAACAUGGAGGAAGUUGAAUGCAACCCUUAGCCUCAUUCAUGUAAGACAACCCAUUAGUAGACAAACCCUCAACCAUGGAAAAAGUCGAACGCAAUCCUGAGCCUCAGUCAUGGAGGGCACUCGUUAGUAGACUUAACCAUGGAUGAAGUCGAAUUCAAUCCUGUGAGCACCAUUUUAUAAUCAACCCCAUACUUCACACCAUGCACAGCCAUGUUUUACUCCCAGAUUCUCGAGCUGGCUCGUAUAUCCACCAAGCAUCAACUCAUGGCUGUCAGACACCCACGCGCAGCCCCAUACGUUCGCCCAUACCCUGCUCCAACACAUCCACCACCAUCAUUUCUUUUUAUUAUUUUCACAUAUGUAAUGGGUUAUAAAACCCUAAAUCAAUGUAAAAUGAAAGGGGACUGGGAAAAUCAAUAAGAGAAAGAGAAGCAAAAAUCUACCACGAUCUAAAGGGUAUUUUGCUUUUUUUUUUCA